GGUCUAGGCGGAUAUUCAAGUUGGGGGUGAAAGCCCGGGGCUCAACCCCGGAACUGCCUCCAAAACUGAAUAUCUAGAGUUCGAUAGAGGCAGGUGGAAUACCUAGUGUAGAGGUGAAAUUCGUAGAUAUUAGGUGGAACACCAGUGGCGAAGGCGGCCUGCUGGAUCGAUACUGACGCUAAAGCCCGAAAGCGUGGGGAGCAAACA
rnacentral:rRNA from 1 species